GGAAUAUAUAAUAUAUAUCCAUAUAUAUAUAUGGAACUCAUGAACUCGUCUCCAAAAUCUAGCUAGCUAUUCUUUUCAUAAUUUAGAUGGUCUCUCUCUCUUUUUUUUUUUUUUUAAGGAAAGUGUCUCACUAUGUUGUCCAGGCUGCAGUGCAGUGGUGCGGUCAUAGCUCACUGCAGCCUCGAACUCCUUGGCUCAAGCAAUCUUCCUGCCUCAGCCUCCCGAGUAGCUAGGACUACAAAUGUGCACCACCACACCUGGCUCAUUUUUAAUUUUUUUUUUGUAGAGAUGGGGCCCUGCUAUGUUGCUCAGGCUGGUCUUGAUUCCUGGCCUCCAGUGAUCUUACUGCUUUAGCCACCCAAAGUGCUGGGAUCGUGUGUGUGAACCACCACACCUGGCCAACAUUCGUCCGGUCUAACAUUCAGAUUGUUUUGAAUGUUACACAGCCUGGAGCCAGCUCUUGAAUAUUAGAUAAGCUAUAACGUUGAAAGAGGAUGUUGGGACCAGGUAGGAGACAGAGGGGUCUCCAUCUGGUUCCAGGGAUGGGCUCUACAAAUACAGCAAAAUGCCUAAGAUCCAAUGGAAACUUAGGGUUGGACCCAAUUGGACAGGUGAGUCAAAUCCUAGGGUUGAGAGGACAGGUACUAUAUCUAGGUGAUGCAAAAUGCUCCCAUCCUGGGAGAGAGAAGUGGGUCAUUUUUAAGCUAGUAACUGGGGUGCUGUGGAAAAGACAAGGAAAAAGACAGGAAGAGGAUCCCUGGAGCAUCUUGUAGUCACAGAAAGUAAAGAAUUGCUCAAAACCUCCACAAGGAUGACAAUAUGUCAAAGGGAUACAAGAGCCAAUGUGAAAGAGCUCCUAGUGCCUAAAGUGGGAACAAUUUGAGCAACAAAAUAAGUAACAAGCUGGUCAUGGUGGUAGGCGACAGCAGUCCCAGCUACUUGGGAAGCGAGGUGGGAGGAUCGAUUUCUUAAGCCCAGGAGGUUGAGGCUGCAGUGAGCUGUCAUCAUGCCACUGCACUCCAGCCUGGGUGACAGAAUGAGACCCUGUCUCAAAUAAAUAAAUAAAAUUAAAAAAAACACUUGGUUUAAAAAAAUACAUGAGUACGCGUGAAUUCGUACCGUUAUAAGCAAAUGAUUGAAUAAAUAAAGUGGGGGAAAGUACCAAUUUUUCCUAAAGAAGAAUUCUAAAUAAACACACACGCGCGCGCACACACACACACACACACACACACACACUCCUUUAGGAAAUGGAGCUUAAUCAUCCCACACCACCUCUCCUCCAAUGUGGGUUAGAUUUAGGGGCUCACUUACAAAAAAACAGAGUAUGGGAAAGGGAAUGGGUUUUACGGUGGAGAAACCAGGCAAGCACUACCCUAAUCAAGUAAUCAAGAUGGGCAUCACCAGCAGGUAUCACGCACCUCCUGAUAUGAUAUCAUGAGAAAGGCAUGUCACCUCUGUGGUAUUCUUCCCCCAAACACAUAACCUCAGUCUAAGCAUAAAGAAAACAUCACAGUAACCCAGCUUUAGGGACAUAUUAUAAAAUACCUGCUCAUAUUACAAAAUACCUGAAAAUUUUCAGUCAUGGAAAACAAGAAAAGACUGAGAAACUGUCAUAGACCAGAAGAGACUCAGGAAGCAUGACUCACCUACAGGGUGCUACCCUCGGUUGGAUCCUGGAAAGAUAAAGGACUUUAGUGGCAAAACUGGUGAAACUGCAUGAAAUCUGGAGUUUAGUUAAUAGUAAAUAUACCAAUGUUAAUCUCAUAGUUUUGACAAACGUACCAAACUUAUGUAAGAUGUUAAUGUUAGGUGAAACUAGGUGAAAUAUAUAUGGGAAUUUGCUGUACUAUCUUUGUAACUUUUCUGUAAACCUGAAAUUUUUCAAAAAUAAAAACUAUCCUGAGCAAAAAGAACAAAACUAGAGGAAUCCAUUACCUAACUCAAGAACAUACAUUGGGGAAAAGACAGUUUCUAUAAUAAAUGAUGCUGGGAAAAUUGGAUCUCUGAUAUGGUUUGGUUCU
rnacentral:lncRNA from 10 species